AUAUCGCAAGGAUGUGGACGGUCCCUUCCUGUUUUAGUGCCGAGAGAGCCACCGUACCGACUCACACUGGAGCAGGAAUACAGGCACUCAUAACGCGAUUAUGUCUGGAUUUUCGCCGUGUUUGUCCAACACACGGAGCUGUAUCUUCCAUCGUGGCGCGUCCAGGUUUAUGUUUUAGGGAAUGCUGUUAUGUUAUUCUACGGGUAGCUGGUAACAUAGCAGGCCUGUUUAUUGCGCUGCCAACCCUUGUUCCUUUCCUGUGUCAAUGAUUGUCCUCCCCUCACUCUCAUGGCGGAGACUAAAAUAAUAUAUCACAUAGACGAGGAGGAGACUCCUUAUCUAGUCAAACUGUCCGUUUCUCCAGAAAAAGUCACCUUAGCGGAUUUUAAAAAUGUCCUCAACAAUCGACCCGUCAAUAGCUACAAAUUCUUCUUCAAAUCGAUGGACCAGGAUUUUGGGGUUGUCAAAGAAGAGAUUUCCGAUGACAACGCCAAGCUGCCCUGCUUCAACGGGAGAGUAGUGUCCUGGUUGGUCUUGGCAGAGAGUGCCCACUCUGAUGGAGGAUCUCAGUGCACAGAGAGCCAUCCAGAGCUGCCCCCUCCUCUCGAGAGAACAGGGGGCAUCGGAGACUCGCGGCCCCCCUCCUUCCAUGCCAAUGCGGUGAGCAGUCGAGAUGGCCUGGACACCGAGACGGGAACUGAGUCUCUUCUGAGCCACCGCAGAGAGCGAGAGAGAGAGCGGGCACGGAGGAGAGCGAGAGAAACUGAGCUCCCUCGCAUCAACGGUCACUCCAAAUCAGAGCGCACCGCAAGAGACUCGGCCAUGGGUUACGACAGCGCCUCAGUAAUGAGCAGCGAGUUGGAGUCCAGCUCGUUUGUUGACAGCGAGGAAGACGAGGAUGCGAGCAGGCUCAGUAGCUCCACAGAACAGAGUUCUUCUUCACAGCUGAUGCGAAGACACAAGCGCCGCCGACGGAGGCACAAAGUGGCCAAAAUAGACCGGUCUUCAUCCUUCAGCAGUAUCACAGACUCCACUAUGAGCCUCAACAUCAUCACCGUCACGCUCAACAUGGAGAAGUACAAUUUUUUAGGUAUCAGUAUUGUUGGUCAGAGUAAUGACCGGGGAGACGGCGGCAUCUACAUCGGCUCCAUAAUGAAAGGAGGCGCUGUGGCUGCUGACGGAAGAAUAGAACCUGGGGACAUGCUCCUUCAGGUGAAUGAUGUCAACUUUGAGAACAUGAGCAAUGAUGAUGCUGUGAGGAUCCUCAGAGAGAUUGUUUCCAAAACUGGUCCUAUUAGUCUUACUGUUGCCAAAUGUUGGGACCCGUCUCCACGAAGCUACUUCACCAUCCCUCGUGCUGAGCCGGUGAGACCCAUUGACCCAGCAGCCUGGAUUUCACACACCACUGCCCUGACAGGACCUUACCCACACUAUGGUAAAAGCAACCAACCACCACCUCCCUCACACUCCAUGAAGCAUCCAUUCUGUGAGUUUGACGACUUGCCUCUGUCAGCAAGUAAGACAGACAUGGCAACCAUCGUAAAGGUGAUGCAGCUGCCUGACUCUGGCCUAGAAAUCCGAGACAGGAUGUGGUUGAAGAUCACCAUCGCCAAUGCCGUCAUUGGUGCUGACGUAGUGGACUGGCUUUACUCCAGAGUGGAAGGAUUCAAGGAUCGGCGGGAUGCGAGGAAGUAUGCAAGCAGUCUGCUGAAACAUGGCUACCUGAGACACACCGUCAACAAGAUCACCUUCUCCGAGCAGUGCUACUACACCUUCGGGGACCUCUGCCAAAACAUGGCAUCACUCAAUUUAAAUGAGGGAUCCAGCGGUGGAGGCUCUGAGCAGGACACUCUGGCACCGCUCCCUCCCACCAGCAACCCUUGGCCCCUGGGCGGACAGCCAUUCCCCUACCCUCCCUUUCCCUCCGCGCCACCUAGCUUCCCGCCAGGAUACUCAGACCCGUGCCACAGUUUCCACAGCGGGAGUGCGGGCAGCCAGCACAGCGAGGGUGAGCAAUGUUAGGGAUAAAACGGGCCUCUGAGUUUCCUAUCAAGCUUUCUUUGAUUAAUGAUAAUUUGACUCAACAUGCAACAUGACAUUAUCCCUAAUCUAAGUAUUCCUGACAUAUUUUGUCAGUAUUAACAAGUGUCUGACUCAUGCUGAUGUUAGCUUUUCUGCCUCAAAUGAGCAGGAAGUUGGCAUUGGAUUGCAUUUUUAUUAAUCACUUAUGUGUAUUCUAAAACCUGUAUUGUCAAGGUCAAUCAUGAGCAUCUUGAGUCAUGCAGCGGACAGCUCUGCAGUACUGGGUGUGUACACGAAACAAAUCGGAUCAACCAUGUGAUUUCAAAUCGCCAGCUUGAAAUGAUUAACAUCAAGUCCAUCCCUCAUCAUCAGUCCACGAAUGAUCUUUUGUUUUUUUAUUUUGACUCAGAACGUGAUAGUGCUUUGUGUUGCUUCAGCAUGGUUUUUGAUAUCUGCACUGAGGGAGAGUGGAGGACCAGGGGGUGUGGCUGUGUAUACAUAUUAAACCAGGCAGGUCAGACCGAUAGAUGGUAAAUUACAUGUCACCAUCUAUCAGUCUCAGUUUCAUUAUUUUGAGUGAUUCAUCCAGACAUCGUCAUGUCUUGCUUUCCGCCGGUUGUCACUCUUUCAGUUCGUUUAUCUGCAACCUUUGAAAAAUGGAGGGACAGAGAUGACAAGAUAAGAAUAGUUGUGUAUCUUAUAUGUAGGUUUGUUUCUUUUGGCACUUCCAAACAAGUGUUUGUGGGUAUUUAUAUGUCUGCCUGCUUGUUUGAAUAAGUGCAUGUGCAAUAUUGAGGAGCAGUUUCUCCAUGAAUUGAAGACUUUUGACAAGAAAAUAACCAUGGGUGUAAAUUUGUUAUAACCCUACGGGCCAGAUGUACGACAGUAGGGUACAUUAGGUAGUGUGGGAAGGGCUGGGAGGUGUGUGUAAUUCUGUUGUUCCCUCUGUUUCUGCUGGGCAACGGUAGACUGAAGGAGGAGGUAGUCCCAGGACACUGGGGGAACCGGAAGCCGAAGCAGUGGAUCCAACCCCAGUGCAGGCAAAGGUAGACGCUCCUCCCCACAGGAGAAGGGUCAAAAGUCAACAUGUAGCGAAUCAGAACCCCGCAUCCGUGGAGGGAGGCGCGGUGAUAGGUCCGCUAG